rnacentral:rRNA from 1 species
UACGGGGGGGGGCAAGCGUUGUUCGGAAUUACUGGGCGUAAAGGGCUCGUAGGCGGCCAACUAAGUCCGACGUGAAAUCCCCAGGCUUAACCUGGGAACUGCGUCUGGUACUGGAUGGCUUGGAUUUGGGAGAGGGAUGCGGAAUUCCAGGUGUAGCGGUGAAAUGCGUAGAUAUCUGGAGGAACACCGGUGGCGAAGGCGGCAUCCUGGACCAACACUGACGCUGAGGAGCGAAAGCCAGGGGAGCAAACGGG